GGGCUACGUCAUUACGGCGCGUCGCGCGGGAAGCCACGGGGAGGUGAGAAAGGGCCCCUUCCUAACGCCCUUGUUUGCUUGCUUCCACUCUUGAGUCAUCGCACGGUAAGGUGGCGCGGGUCUGGAGGGGCCCUAAGGUAAAUGGACAGGGAAUAAGGGACGGCGGCCAUGGCCGAUAGGACGCAGCUGUGGUGGUUGGGAGAGAGGGUCGGGCUUGAGCCCGGGCGCUUGGUCGCGCCUCCGGCACGCGCCUCACGCAGGGCGCAGUACGGCCAGCGUCGCGCGCAGAGAAGAGGGAGUAGCCGUUAGAGAAUCCACGGGAGGUGUGGCCCGCACUACGGGCGCGGCGGCGCGGCACGGUCCCUUGUGUGGGCGGAACUCGGGGCGGUCUAUAGAGGAGACUCGCCCAAUGUAAAAGGGGGGAUCACGCACCUGCGGUCGUCAGGAAUUUGGAGGCUCCAGACAAGGGCGGAGUUUGAGAAAGGGGUGCACCCGGUGAGUGGCGCGGAGGGAUUGGUCCGUGCCAAUGGCGGGUGAGAAGGAGGGGGGGCCAGCCGAAGGCGGCUCGAGCUGGCUGAAGGGGCUUGGUGAGCGCUAGGGGUUGGACUUGGGUAGGGGGUGGGGCCUGUUGGAGGAAAGAGGCAGUCCCCUGAGGAGCCGGGCUUGUCGAAACGUUAGGGUCAGGAUCUAGCCAAGUGGAAGGACCGCGUCAGGGGUGAAGUCUCCCCAGCCAUGACCUCCACCGGUCAGGAUUCCACCACACCCAAGGAGCGAAGGAGUAGGCACAAUCCCCACUCUCCCCACCCACGACUCCAGCAUCACCUCGAAGCGAGGUGUUAAAAAGAGUGCCAUACUCCGCUCCAGCCCCAGUCUAGCGGAGGUAAAGAAGAAAGGCAGAAUGAAGAAGCUUAGCCAAACAGCCGAGCAAGACCUAAUCAUGGGGCUACAAGGGCUGAAUCUGAACCUGGAGUCCAGGACACUGUCUGGCACUGGCUUGGUGUUCGAUGAACAGCUAAUGAAUUCCACUGCCUCUGGGAUGACAGGUGAGGCUGGCUUCUCCAGGCCAUACCCAAACCAUACAAAUAUAUGCACUAGAGCCCAUUAGCCAUUAGAAG
rnacentral:lncRNA from 1 species